GACGAACGCUGGCGGCGUGCUUAACACAUGCAAGUCGAACGGAAAGGCCCUGCUUUUGUGGGGUGCUCGAGUGGCGAAAGGGUGAGUAACACGUGAGUAACCUGCCCUUGACUUUGGGAUAACUUCAGGAAACUGGGGCUAAUACCGGAUAGGAGCUCCUGCUGCAUGGUGGGGGUUGGAAAGUUUCGGCGGUUGGGGAUGGACUCGCGGCUUAUCAGCUUGUUGGUGGGGUAGUGGCUUACCAAGGCGUUGACGGGUAGCCGGCCUGCGAGGGUGACCGGCCACAUUGGGACUGAGAUACGGCCCAGACUCCUACGGGAGGCAGCAGUGGGGAAUAUUGCACAAUGGGCGGAAGCCUGAUGCAGCAACGCUGCGUGCGGGAUGACGGCCUUCGGGUUGUAAACCGCUUUCGCCUGUGACGAAGCGUGAGUGACGGUAAUGGGUAAAGAAGCACCGGCUAACUACGUG
rnacentral:rRNA from 1 species